UACGGAAGGCAGCAGUGGGGAAUAUUGCACAAUGGGCGAAAGCCUGAUGCAGCUAUGCCGCGUGUAUGAAGAAGGCCUUAGGGUUGUAAAGUACUUUCAUCGGGGAGGAAAAACAAAACUAAUAAUUUUAUUUCUUGACGUUACCCGAAAAAGAAGCACCGGCUAACUCCGUGCCAGCAGCCGCGGUAAUACGGAGGGUGCUAGCGUUAAUCAGAAUUACUGGGCGUAAAGAGCACGUAGGUGGUUUUUUUAAGUCAGAUGUGAAAUCCCUGGGCUUAACCUAGGAACUGCAUUUCGAAACUGAAAUACUAGAGUAUCGUAGAGGGAGGUAGAAUUCUAGGUGUAGCGGUGAAAUGCGUAGAUAUCUGGAGGAAUACCUGUGGCGAAAGCGGCCUCCUAAACGAAUACUGACACUGAGGUGCGAAAGCGUGGGGAGCAAACAGGGAUUAGAUACC
rnacentral:rRNA from 1 species